rnacentral:lncRNA from 1 species
AGGUGAUGUCACGUGUCCUUGUUAUAAUUUGCAAGGGUGAAAGGGUCAUACAGGGAUGGAUGCAUGGAAAAGUUUCAUGAAAAUGCUUUAUGAGAAAAGACAGAUGAAGACAAUGAUCAUGAAGAAUGCAUGCUGAGACAAUUUGAGGCGCUCAGAACCUCAGACACUCACUCACACUCCUUCGAAAUUUGAUGACAUUGACCGCAAUUCAUUAGGAUUUUAGUACUCUCAGAAAGUCCCCUACGCAGCUCCGUGCAACAUCUGGAUAUGGAUAUAUAUGCUCAUUAUUGUCUCUUAAACCCUCCCACCUACCUUUCUCUUGUAUCAUUAGUUGAUGGUUACCAUCUGUUAGUCGAAAAUAAUUAUUUUUGAUGAAGG